UGGGACUCGAGGCACCUUGUUUGUUUGAACUCUGCUUGCUUAACUCCCAAGCAACCCCACCUCAUUCCCGGUAAUGCUGGAGAAGAAUCUCUGAAAUGAAUCCAUAACGUGUGAGAAUCACAGUGUGUGCCUUGCAAUAAACUCCAAGCAUUACAAUGAGAGCUCUACCCAUAGCGAUGAUGACACCAAUCUGCUUCUUAAAGAGUCUGUGCCUGGCUCUCCUUAGUCCCACGUGCGGAAUCUAGGAUCCCGUCAUUAUCUCCUAAGAAGACAGUGUCUGGUCCCGAACAGAAAAAGACAACAG